GGCUCAGGACGAACGCUGCGGCGUGCCUAACACAUGCAAGUCGAACGAAGCUCCUGAUCUGAUCCUCGGGUGAAGUGAAGGAAGACUAGUGGCGACGGGUGAGUAACGCGUGAGCAACCUGCCUUCAGAGGGGGAUAACAGUUGGAAACGACUGCUAAUACCGCAUAACAUAUUGGAGUCGCAUGGCUCUGAUAUCAAAGCUGAGGCGCUGAGAGAUGGGCUCGCGUCCGAUUAGAUAGUUGGUGGGUAACGGCCUACCAAGUCGACGAUCGGUAGCCGGACUGAGAGGUUGAACGGCCACAUUGGGACUGAGACACGGCCCAGACUCCUACGGGAGGCAGCAGUGGGGGAUAUUGCACAAUGGGCGAAAGCCUGAAUGCAGCAACGCCGCGUGAGGGAAGACGGUUUUCGGAUUGUAAACCUCUGUCUUUGGUGAAGAAGGAAGUGACGGUAACCAAGGAGGAAGCCACGGCUAACUACGUGCCAGCAGCAGC
rnacentral:rRNA from 1 species